AGUGGCCCUAAAUGCUUGGGCCACCUGAUGGGCCACCGGGCCUGUGAUAACAGUUAUGGUUGUCACCCCCUGAUGGCGGCCCUGACGCUCCCCAUGGAGAUGCUGCUUGGCCGCGCAGCUUUUUGCCACACAAUAGCCUCCAAAUGAUUUCCUUUGGGAAAGCAUUGGAUUGGCUGAGAUCUUUAAGUUUAUGAUCUCAGUCAAAGUGAAGAACACACUCAUAGAACUUCAAAAUCAACAAGAU